CGAAUAGUGAGGUUAUGGACGGUGACGGUUGAUAAAAAAACCAUGAAUUGAUCUGGAACUUUCCCCGACAAUCGUUCUCUUCAUCCUCGUGUCGCUAUCGCUAGUACCGGCCACCGGCAACGUCGGUUGCCGGGAAGAAUGUAUAAAUAAAGGAAAACGCUUUUCCGCGUUCCCAUAAACGAAGAUCGAUCGACGGUGGUUGUUCGUGUUAUGUUUAGUGUCGUGUUUUAGUGACUAAACAUUAAAAUUUUUCAAAAAACCAUGCUAUUAAAACCCAGUUGUAGUGGAUAGGUCAAAAAACAAAAAGAGGAAGAUGGUUUCCGCUACGGGUGAAUCAGCAUCCAAUAAAUUCCCAACGGAGCCAGACGAAAUUUCGCCAUAUUGUGAAUUCGCGCUAGCGUCAAACUGCAGCGCAAAAGGCGAACAAAUAAACAGCCAUUGGCGUAGUUGUUAAAGAAACGACGACAACGGCAGCCGGUGCGGUUGCACCAGGGUAACUGGUUCUUCAAGUAACAAGUCGUGAUAAACCAACAACAGCAAAAUUUCCUUUAUGCGUCGCAAAAUGUAAGCAGUGUGAAAGCUGUGGCCAUUAACUGUGUAAAGCCAACGAAUACCAUCACACUACCUUUCAUGGGUUCCUUUGCAUUGGUUGCGGAAUGUUUUCUUUUUCAAUUAUUAAAUCAAUCACCAUGCGUCUCCACUUGCAUUUUUCUGUUUGGCCGGCUGAUGUUGAUACCUACAAAUAUUUUCGCUUUUGACGACCAGUGUUAUCUUUGGCAUUACCGUUACCAUUGGUUACGCUACAGAAAUUAUUACUCAUACGCAAAAGGCCGCUUGUUAUACAUACAUGCCUAGUAUCUAUUGGUGGAACAUCACAGGUUUACGAUUGAUUUUUGUUGUUGCGUUCCAGACAAUAUAAUAUAACCAAUUAGUUCUUUCAACAUCUGGCUGCAACUUCUUCUAAAGCUCAAUCCAUUUAAUAUUUGAUCGCACAAAAUGGGAUGAAGAAAAAAUCUUAAGAUAUCAUUUUACUGUAAAUUUCUAGAUAAACAUUUCUAAAGGUCCUAUCUGCUUUCAUCGUUUUCCCGAAGCGUCUUUUCAUUUUGGUAAAGGUUCAGCUUUGGUAACUCUCCCAAGUGUGAUUUUCGUUCAGAAGGUUAGAGUGAUCCCUCCGCUAUCAACUUGUUUAAAUAACGUGUCAUAAAAGGUGUUUAAUAAGUUGUGGAGAUUGAACGAAAGUGAUCGAUCAAAAAAUCAGGACCUUUCAAAAUGUUUCUCUAGAUUUGGUGACCC